GGUUCUGUGGUGCAAUGGAAAGCAUGUUGGACUUCUAAGCUUUAGUGAACACUGUGACCUUAAUCAGUCAUUCAAAGGUUGUGGGUUCAAAUCCCACCAGAGUCA
rnacentral:tRNA from 1 species